rnacentral:tRNA from 1 species
AUAGCUGAGUGGUAAAGCGCUUGGCUUUCAAAUGGGAGGGGGGGUCCCGGGUUCAAAUCCUGGU